GGCGAACGCUGGCGGCGUGCCUAAUACAUGCAAGUAGAACGCACAGUUUAUACCGUAGCUUGCUACACCAUAGACUGUGAGUUGCGAACGGGUGAGUAACGCGUAGGUAACCUGCCUGGUAGCGGGGGAUAACUAUUGGAAACGAUAGCUAAUACCGCAUAAUAUUAAUUAUUGCAUGAUAAUUAAUUGAAAGGUGCAAUUGCACCACUACCAGAUGGACCUGCGUUGUAUUAGCUAGUAGGUGAGGUAACGGCUCACCUAGGCGACGAUACAUAGCCGACCUGAGAGGGUGAUCGGCCACACUGGGACUGAGACACGGCUCAGACUCCUACGGGAGGCAGCAGUAGGGAAUCUUCGGCAAUGGACGAAAGUCUGACCGAGCAACGCCGCGUGAGUGAAGAAGGUUUUCGGAUCGUAAAGCUCUGUUGUAAGAGAAGAACGGGUGUGAGAGUGGAAAGUUCACACUGUGACGGUAUCUUACCAGAAAGGGACGGCUAACUACGUG
rnacentral:rRNA from 1 species